UAUUAAAAAUUUCAUCCUUUUGUAUGGUUAAAAACUAACGUGGUUGACAGAAUAACCAAACAAUGACAUGUGACAACGUGUCACAUGUAUUUCAUGCUAACAUACAAAAACUAAUUUUUAAUAGUAGACAUAGAUGAUAUUUUUAACA
rfam:Gossypium hirsutum cultivar TM-1 chromosome 4, whole genome shotgun sequence